rnacentral:rRNA from 1 species
UACGUAGGGUGCGAGCGUUAAUCGGAAUUACUGGGCGUAAAGCGUGCGCAGGCGGUUCGUCGUGUCUCGUGUGAAAGCCCCGGGCUCAACCUGGGAAUGGCAUGGGAAACUGGCGAACUGGAGUGUGGCAGAGGGGGGGUGGAAUUCCGCGUGUAGCAGUGAAAUGCGUAGAUAUGCGGAGGAACACCGAUGGCGAAGGCAAUCCCCUGGGCCUGUACUGACUCAUGCACGAAAGCGUGGGGGAGCGAACAGG